CCGUGACAGGUCAACCAGUGGUUCACCCAGGUCUGUGGGCCACGACAGGUCAACUAGGUUCGUCCAGGUCUAGGUCCGUGGGCCGGGACAGUUCAAGUGUUCGUGUACCCAGGUCCCAAGCCGUGGAGAGCAGGUCCUUAGAUGGUCUUUCGCAUGCAAGGCCCAUUUACAAUAGGGCUGUGCCAACCACAUUCCCCCUGUCAGAAGCGAAAUUCCAGAAAAUAGUGGUAACAAAGCUGGUGACUCUCACUGAUGAGGUCAAAAAACUCCAGAGGACCUUACCUAACUCUGGGAUUGAUAUAAGCAAGAUCGACACCUUGGAAGAGUUCGAGAGGGAGGAGGCUUCUCUUCUGGAGAAAAA